CUCUGGGGAGGGCUCUGGGCAGAGGCAGUGACUCAGGGAGGAAGGCACUGAGUGGCUUACUCCACAGCAUGGGCUGACUAGUCAAAAGGUGAUGGCGAGGGGCUGGCUGGACAGUUAUCCUGGGCAAAGGGGCCUGCACCUUCAUUCAUGAGGAAACAGGGAGAACUGAGCCAUCAACAAGCAGGCAGAUGUUGGCUUUUGAAAAGAGAACUCCCCCAGAUAUAACCUACAGACUUGUCCGCGGGUGUGGGUGGGGCUGAGUCUGCAUUUCUACCCAGGUCCCUACCAAGGUGACGCUGACGGAGCGUUCUGUGUGUGCUGGUGAGGACGCAGCCACUCUGGAGGGCGAGGAUGGCCUGGGGGCAGCAAGGCUGGCAAGGAGCUGACCGCAGGCCCUGUUGGGAUGGAGGGAGGUAACUCAGCGCUGGGCCUCAGUGGAAACUCCAUCAUGACCUUCCGAUUUGGGAGGCAGGUCAGAGGAAGUGGUCAGACCUGCGCCAGACAUGGGUCCCUUCUGAUGAAACACUUGGGAAACAAACAAUGGAAGGAAAAAUUACCCGUAAUUGCACAGCGCAGAGAUAAACACCGCUCGCUUCGGAGACGGCGUCUUCUCUCCUUCUGCCGCCUCCCUCGCUCCCCUCUCCUCGCACAUGUAUCAAAAACAGGAUCUUCUGUGUGCCUGCUCACACACAGACACACGCGCACACUCACACGCACACACGGCUGCUCCAUCCGCGACGCUCCCCGCCUCCCCGCGGCAGCUGCAUGGCGGUUCUGUCCAUCCGUUCCCCUUGGCCUCCGUCUCUCGGGCCACAGGCUGUGCUCUCCUCUCGUCCCUCCGCCUGCAGUCUUUGAACCACUCCUGCCUCUGCGGGCCCCUCUGCAGCCCGCCCUCCUCCCAGACGGAGCGACGUGGCCAGCACCCUCCAGCGGUUCCUGUUGCUCCACCAUGAAGCCCAGGCCUGCCCUCCAGGCUUCCGGCCACCCCUGCAGCCCCUACCCUCCCACCCUCUCCGCACAGACCCUUGCUGUCUUGUGGGGCUCCUGCCAGCCCCCUCCCUCCACUGCCUUCGCUCAGCCCCCUGGUCCCCACUGUACUGUACCCCCACACUCCCACGGGGCAGCUCGGAAGUCUCCUGGAGGCAACAGGGCCUUCAUGCCCACUGACCUUAGUGCUCUAGCCUGGACGCUCUGGUGACCCCUGACCUCAGGCUCCCCAGGUUUUGGCUCCUGAUGGAGCACUCUCUGCAUUUUCUGAGUGAAGGACGAAAUCUGUGAAUGAAUGAAUGAGUGAGUGAGUGAAAUACCUGGAAUCGGUCAGCAUACUGUUGGGGGUCGUAGCAGGGGCCAUCCCGAUUCCCUCCAGAAACGCUAACGUCGUUUCUGUAUCCACUACCUGCAGACAUGCCAGGCAGGCCAACCCGCGCUUCCCACUGAGCAGAAUCGCGUUUUCAUGUCUGCGAGCUGUUGGGCAGGGUUUCGUGUGUCCCCACGGAAACGCGCGGG
rnacentral:lncRNA from 1 species